rnacentral:rRNA from 1 species
AACGAACGCUGCCGGCAUGCCUAACCCAUGCAAGUCGAACGAGACCUUCGGUUCUACUGGCGCACGGCUGCGUAACGCGUGGGAACCUGCCCUUCGGUUCGGAAUAACUCUCCGAAAGGGGUGCUAAUCCGGGAUCAUGUCUUCGGCGCAAAGAAUUAUCGCCUUUGGAUGGGCCCGCGUUGCAUUAGCUAGUUGGUAGGGUAAAAGCCUACCAAGGCGACGAUCCAUAGCUGGUCUGAGAGGAUGCUCAGCCACCCUGGGACUGAGACACGGCCCAGACUCCAACGGGAGGCAGCAGUAGGGAAUAUUGGACAGUGGACUAAAGCCUGAUCGAGCAAUGCCGCGUAAGUGAUGAAGGCCUUAGGGUUGUAAAGCUCUGUUACCCGGGAUGAGAAUGACAGUACCGGGAGAAGAAGCUCCGACUAACUCCGUG